CGGAGGGUGCAAGCGUUGUUCGGAAUUACUGGGCGUAAAGCGUGCGUAGGUUGUAUUGAGAGUCAUAGGUGAAAUCCCCAAGCUUAACUUGGGAACUGCCCGUGAGACCUCAGUACUAGAGUAUGAGAGAGGAUUGUGGAAUACCUGGUGUAGCGGUGAAAAUGCGUAGAGAUCAGGUGGAACACCGGUGGCGAAGGCGGCAAUCUGGCUCAUUACUGACACUCAGGCACGAAAGCGUGGGUAGCGAACAGGAUUAGAUACCCUGGUAGUCCACGCCGUAAACGAUGCAUACUAGACGUAGUGGGAUUUACUUCUGCUGUGUCGAAGCUAACGCGAUAAGUAUGCCGCCUGGGAAGUACGGUCGCAAGACUA
rnacentral:rRNA from 1 species